rnacentral:rRNA from 1 species
AUGCUUGGGAAAACACUGCCAUCUAACUUUGGUGAUACCCUCCUGAAUCUUAAAGUUCUCACAUUGUACGAAAAUAAUUUUGAAGGUUAUCUCCCAGCAUCACUAGGAAAUAUUUCAGGGCUAGAAUGGUUAGACUUGUCAUUCAACAAUUUCGUUGGUCAAGUUCAAACUUCUUUUGGUAAUCUUGGACUCUUACAUCACCUAGACCUUCAGCAAAACAAUUUGACGGGCUUCAUCCCAAGAGAGCUGAGUGGCUUGCAACACCUCACCAAUCUGUAUCUGUCUCAUAAUAAUCUGGAAGGCAGGGUACCAUGA